AAUUAUUGAUGAUAAAAGGUAAAAUUGAGUUGUUAUUAUAUAAUAUAUAGUAAUUAAAACUGAAGCUAGGAAAAUUUGGAUGAAAACUAGGAUUAGAUACCCUAUUAUUCUAAAUUAAAACCGGAAGUACUAAAUUAGUAAUAGUUAAUUACUUAAAAAUUAAAAAAUUUGGCGGUGAUUUAAUCUUUCCAGAGGAACUUGUUUCUUGAUCGAUACUCCUCGCAAAAUCUUACUUAUUUUUGUUAACAGGCAGUUUGUAUACCAUCAUUAGCAGGUAACUUCAAAAGAAUAAGUUACUAAAUGUUAAUUAUUUACAAAAAUUAGAUCAUGGUGCAGCAUAUAAAUAAGUUGAAAUGAGUUACAAUAAGUUAUCUUAAACGGAGCAGUAAAGUAAGAAUUGCUGUGAAGGAGGAUUUGGUUGUAUUAUAAUGUUAAUAAGCUUAUGAGACAUAAGUUCUAAAUCAUGUACAUAUCGCCCGUCGCUUUCGU
rnacentral:rRNA from 1 species